GAUGAAGAACGUAGCGAAAUGCGAUAAGUAAUGUGAAUUGCAGAAUUCAGUGAAUCAUCGAAUCUUUGAACGCACCUUGCGCCCUUUGGCUAUUCCGAAGGGCAUGCCUGUUUGAGUAUCGUGAACACCUCAACUCUCAUGGUUUGCCAUGAUGAGCUUGGACUUUGGGGGUUUUGUUGGCCUUUGGUCGGCUCCUCUCAAACGGAUCAGCUUUCCAGUGUUUGGUGGCGUCACGGGUGUGAUAACUAUCUACGCCUGUGGUUUUCUGCCAGAUAACCUUCAGCGAUGGAGGUUCGCUGGGGCUCAUAAAUGUCUCUCUUCAGUGGAGACAGCUUUUUGGACGUUUGAUCUCAAAUCAGGUAGGACUACCCGCUGAACUUAAGCAUAUCAAUAAGCGGAGGA
rnacentral:misc_RNA from 1 species